GUUCGUCAGGGCCUCGUGUAGGACGUUUUUUUUCUCCUCCUCCUUCAGCUGCCGGCUGAGCAGGAUGAAGCCCGGGAUGCAAAUGAUGAAGGAGACAGUCCGUAGGCUCAGAGUCAGGCCCAGGUCUCUGAUUGUGGAAGGACUUCCUGUUCCUCCGCUGCCGCCAUCUCUUCUGCUUCAUCGAGGUCGUCGGCUGACUCCUCCUCUUUGCUCGCCUGCUCCUGCUCUUCCUCCUCCUCGCGGAUUGCUGUGAUUGAAUCUGCAGGAGAUGCUGUGUGAUCUGACAAAAGACCUUCCGUCUGCGCAGCUUUUUGGCUUCUUGCCUCUCUGUGGACACAAAAGGAAAACUUGCCAGCUUAGUGACUGAAGAAAAAAUAUGGCUUUCAGUACUUACUCUGUAAAAAGAAUGACAACCGUUUGCUGACCAUUUUCUUUUUCCAUCAUAUUGAUUUAUCAUGGCAGUGCUAAAAUAAUGUAUUGUAAUGUCUGUUACUGUUACGAGGAAGUAUUAGGGCAAGUAGAUAGAAAAAAGAAAAGAAAACUGGCCUUGGAAGAGAAUAUUUUUGCAAAAUAAUUUUAAGAUUUGAAAAUUCAAUUCAUAUUUACAUGAAGAAACUUGAAUAUUCUCUAUCAAAAAGUCUUACAUUUGCAGAAAUAAAAUCACACUUCCCCAUUAUCAAAGAUACAGUUUUACAUUAAAACUAGGAUGUGUCUGAUACUGUGAAGUCAGACAUUUGGAAAAAGAAUUGAAAAAGAAAAAAACUCAGAGUAACUGAGCAGUAUUUAUCUUUGUGAGGUGUGAUUGCAGUACGGCAUGCAGUUCUAGCCAUAUAAGUUACUGCAAAAAAAAAACCUGCAAUGGAUGUUUAGAUACUUUUGAUGAUCACUUUUAUCGAUUUCUUUUCAGGGCUCUUUCUUUCAAAGUACAGGAUUUGGUACCAAGCGAAUAGAUUGUAUCGUCUUGGUGCAAAGACACAAGUGAUGUGUUUGGAGAUUUAUAGUUUUUUACAAUUUGAAGUCCUUUUACAAUAUUUCUUAUGCUUGAAAGAUGUUUCAAAGGACCUUGUCCUAUAAUGCAUUAAAUAUGUGUGAAGAAUCAAUAUUUUAAGUAUUGACCGUUUUUCCCUAAAAACUAUCAAAUUUAAGCAUAAAAAUCUUUAUGGAACAAUAAUUGUUUGUGACAUACUUUGUCAA